GCUAGGCCCCUUCCGCCCAUCGCUGGGCAGCGUGCGCAAGGUGCCCGGCCCCGGCUCGCCCGCGGCCCCGCGCCUCUCCGGGGCGGUGGGAGGGCUGUGACCGAUGGGUGGCGACGGCACGGCGGCGGGGCGUCCGAGAACUUUUCAGAGGCGUGCACCACCACUGCCCCAGCCUAGGUCCUAUUUCUAAAAAAAAGAAAAAAAAAAAAAAGAGAGAGAAACCACCCAGUCGGGUCUCCUUGGCUGGCCUGGAACUUGCGAUCUUCCAGUCUCCACCACCCAAGUCGUGUUAGGAUUACAGGCAUGGCCGCCACACCCAAGUAAAAAGUGUUAUUUCAAGGUUA